rnacentral:lncRNA from 1 species
AUAAGGACCAAAUCAAUGUGAAUAAGCUUUAACCAUCAUGGGCUGGUCACACGGAACUUAAAUAUCACGUAUGUUAUGACGACGCAGACAAUUUGUGGCUUACAGAAAGAAGGUAGAGUACACUACAUGUAUUU